rnacentral:lncRNA from 1 species
UUUUGAUGUAAUUGUUAAAGAUGAAUUUUAAUUUGGAGCAAAAUUUGGUACAAAAUAGUGCAAAUUUUGGUACAGGAUUGUAGAUGGCCUAAGAAAUGCGAGUACAACCAUUAGAUCCAUGACUUGAUCAUCAAUCUACAAGAUCUCACCAAAAAUAACCUCUAAUCUACUCAAGACCAAGAACAAGUGUAGUAAAGUUCUUUUACAGUUCAAACCGACCCAAAAAAGUCCCAAAACUUCCUGUAAAAUGAACACUAUAUUCAAGCCACAACACACAUGACUAUACACUACACCAACAAUUGAAAUCAGAAAUUAGAUCUGAUUUCCAGUAGAGAAACACCAGCCUUUGAGAGUGAGAGCUUUUUGUGAGUUUUUUGGAGAGAAAACUAGAUAUUGAGAGAAAAUGAAUGAAUCGUUCACCAACAGCCAGCCAGCCAACCCGAGUCAAAAGGAAUGCAUUUAAUCCACAGCCGUUAGAUCAGGUUCAAUGGUCCAGAUCAAACACAACAACACAAGUCUAGGUAACUAUAGUUCAGCCAACAAUUUUGUGCCAAGUGGGCAGCAAUUAAAAACGUUUUUCCACAUAAGAUAACAGGUUUUGUGUUUUGAAAAACGAAUUUUUUCGGUACUCAUCAACGUCUUCAAGUUUAGAAGUAGCAUUUGCUUGAUGAGUCCAAGUUUUUCUUCCUUGGGGCAACGCUAUUUUUCGGUGUUUCAGGCACACUUUAACCUACGUGAUUUUGAAAACACGGUAGCAAGUGAUUUUUUAUGGGAUUUCUUACCUAAAAAUGGCGAGCUCCGUUCUGAGUAAAAAAUGAAGAGGAUUCUAUAGGGGUUUUGGGACUUCUCUUAUGGGUGUGGGGGGGAAGAAGGUGAACAUACUUUUGUUUUUUAUUUUGGGUUUUUAUUUAACUUUUUUAUAUUUUUAUUAAGACUUUUCUUAAAUACUAGUCCAUUGUCUGUGCAAUGCAUGGGCUGAAUUAUUUCGAAGGUAAUGUUAGCAUUUGAAAUGUGUUAAAUUUUCAUAAAUAGAGUAUUCGUAAAUAAUAUUUUCAAUUCAAUGUUUGCUAUUACUAUACUGGAAUGGGCUUGUUUGUAUUUAGCAUUCAAUAAAACGUCAAAAAUCAAUUUACAUCAUUUGAGAAAUUCAAAUCAUAGAGACAAUAUAUAUUUGUAAAGAAAUUGAUGUUUGUUAUAGUAUUAAUCUAAAUGUCACAAGAAAUAUAACGUUUAUAUUUGUCCUCAAGGAAUGCUCGUUGCUCCACCAGAUGCCCUGGAAGGAUUAAACUUGAAAGUCAGUUAAGCUUAUUCUUUAUUGAAAUAUGAGGACAGAUUGAGGAUCACUUUCUUUUAUUGAGCAUACAGAGAGAUUUAUCAUUUACCAAGUUCUCUCAUUCCAGAGCAAGCAAGGAAGCAAGCAAAUGAAUGAGCCCAUUUUACAGUAAUAAACAUUUUAUUGCCAAUGACAACAGCAGAUAGACUUCCACAUUUCUGGUUCUUUUGGCAUGUGAUAAAAACACCUUAUAAUGCUCAGAAAUCACAGUAGCAUAUAGAGAAGUUCGUUCUAUGAAAAAUUAUUUUUAGAAUUCAUAAGGGCAUCUGAAUAUACACUAAAAAUGAAGUAAACAAAAUUUAGAAAUCAAGAAUAAACAAAGAGUAAUACUCCAUUAAACAGUAUAGAAGGUAAAAUUUAACAGGGCAUACCAAGCUUGAAUUUCAUACUGCCCUUGGAAACCAAAUUUAAAAGGAUCCCCAAAUUUAUUGUUCAAAAUUAUAAUUGUUAGCACAUUUUAUCUCACUAUUAUACAAUUUGCUAGGUAUUUAGCAUUCCCAAAUACAUCAAAGGAAAACUAAUCAAUUAACUGUGGCACUGAUGUAAUAACAUUCUGUAACAUAGCUUUCUGGGGAGAGACUCCUCUCGAUGAAAAAACAGCCUACCAAAAAACCCGGGAAAACAAUAAAACGGGAAGGAAAAUGAAAGAAAAAGGAAAAAUAUCUUUUAAAGAGCAUCAACUUUUCAACAAUUGAUACUUUAGGAGUAUGAAAUUCUAUCCUCUGCUCUUUCAAUUUAUUUAGGCCAAAAUCCUCAAUCACACAUCAAAAAGCAGUUUGCGGAAGCAUGUUUUUUGGUGCAAAUCAUUCACAUACUAUGCAACCUUCAAUGAGCAUCUGCCAUCAAGUUCUCGAAGAUUGGUCACAAGUUAAAGAUUUAAAUUCACUCAAUCAAGUUAGGAUUAGAAAAAGUUUCUGUAGGUCCUUUACUCCCCUCUUCACGUCUCGAACUAUUGAAUCCUUUACGCAUUUAGUUUAAGUACAUGUUAACAUUAAAUCAAUCUUAAUGAAAAUUCUUGGCCUUCUCCACCUCAGCAUGAGCCUUCUUCUGAAGUACUGUUCAUUCUCAAGCAUCUAGAGAGUCUACACGAGGGUAAGAAUGAAAAAGCAAAUAUGUGGAAAGAUAGAUAACAAGCAAUACAUCUAGGUAAAAUUACAGCGAGUUAUAACUCUGACUAAUUCAAAUGUUUAAAGCAAAAGCUAUAGAAUCAAACCUGUUUACAAAUAGAUAUGUAUGCUAUAGCAUCAACUUAUGCACCUCCAGAAUUAAUUGCUCCAUAAAAAUUAGGAUUGUAGCAAAACUCAUAAUACUUUUCAAAUCCUACGCUAAGAUGCUAAAGAACACUUGCAAGUUAAUUUUGCCAUUCGAUAAUAUUUCUCGUUCUCACUUUCUAGUAAGCUAUUUGCAAAUAACAACAAUAAACGAAACACCCAUAAUGUGUUUACCUUUAUGCAUGUCAUAGGGCUACUUUUCAUGUUAUAAGUAAAUAUCUUAUACAUAGUAGCAAGAGAGGAAGAAAAAUAAACAGAAAGGCUAUCCUACUCUCUGCUGCUAAUAUUUUUCUAGAUCCACUGAACCCAGGAAGAAUAUCGAGCAACCAUCGUUGGCUUUUUCUCUGAAUUAGCUUGGUGGACGACUCCUAAGGUUAAGACUAUUAGCUAUAAGACAUCAUAAGGAACUGGUGUAAAAUAUGAGAAAAUACGUAAUAUCCGUUUUGGAAGAACUUCAGACUAUCAUAGAUUAAAAACCCAAACAGCAAGAGUUUGGGAAUGGUAAAAGCAAUGGGAGGUAUUUGAUAAAAUCGUUUAGAGUAAAGAAAAUUUGAUUAGUGAAGAGAGAGAAUCACAGAAAUAGGAAAAUGAAGUGUUGCAUAAAGAAAGGAAUUCUAAAAAGCUAAAACCAAAUUAGUGUGUGCAAAAAUCACAAAAUGUAACAAAUUAUAAGAACUGAAUGAGAAGGUAGUUUGUUGAAUCAUAUAUACCUAAGAAAUCAGAAAAUAAACGACAUUAAAAAAAAUUAUGCUGGUAAAAAGUGCUGAAAUUAUCAAGUUCACAUGCAUAUCACAUCAUAAAUGAAUUGCACGUAACUUUGAUGGCUAAAACUGGAACAAGAUUGAGAGAAGUGCGAUCUAUUCUCAAAUAGGUCAAAACUAUAGAAGAUUAAUUUGGAAGAAUUUAUUACCUUUCCAGAAUUUCACACAAUCUAAAGGAAAGGAAAUUAGAAGAUUGAGACGACCAAGAAUAAGGCAGACUAAAAUAAAAAAUGCUCAUGUUUUCUAUUCAACGUACAUGUAAACUCUGAAUAUGACAGAUGAGCAUGUCUGAAAUUGUAAUUAUUAAUGACACAAAGGUUCGGUAGGUAAGAAAAAUGAUUUGUAGAAGAAAUUCAUGAUUUCUUAUACUCCUGUAUAUCGUACAGGGCUGGAGAGUGGAAUGAAGUGAAUAAAAUUGUACGCUAAAGUGUAACUAAAACUCGUAGGACACUAUUAAAAAAUAUGGAUUCAGGCACGAAUUUUUUGUUCCAAAAANNNNN